rnacentral:lncRNA from 1 species
UGAAGGGAGAGGUGCACGUCGGAUUCGUCGACACCGCCGGGAAGCUCUUCGCAACGAGCCUGAAGAGGGGCGACUUCUUCGUGUUCCCCAAGGGAUUGGUGCACUUCCAGCUGAAUGUGGGCAGCGGUCACGCCGUGACGAUCUCGGUGUUGAACGGGCAGAACCCUGGCGUACAGUUCUCCACCGCCGUGUUCGCAGCACAGCCGUCAAUCGACACCUCGGUACUGGCCAGGGCGUUCCAGCUCAAGGACAUGGAUGUGAUGGACUUGCAGACCAAGUUCAAGCCCGCCGCGUAAGCU